rnacentral:misc_RNA from 1 species
GAAAUGCGAUAAGUAAUGUGAAUUGCAGAAUUCAGUGAAUCAUCGAAUCUUUGAACGCAUCUUGCGCUCCUUGGUAUUCCUUGGAGCAUGCCUGUUUGAGUAUCAUGAAAUCUUCAAAGUAAAUCUUUUGUUAACUCAAUUGGUUUCUACUUUGGUAUUGGAGGUCUUUGCAGCUUCACACCUGCUCCUCUUUGUUCAUUAGCUGGAUCUCAGUGUUAUGCUUGGUUCCACUCGGCGUGAUAAGUUAUCUAUCGCUGAGGACACUGUAAAAGGUGGCCAAGGUAAAUGCAGAUGAACCGCUUCUAAUAGUCCAUUGACUUGGACAAUACUUUUAUGAUCUGAUCUCAAUUCAGGUAGGACUACCCGCUGAACUUAAGC